GUCCAGUUUUCCCAGGAAUCCCUUGGGCAAUCGAAAGGGGGAUUCCUGGAAAUACUGUUCUU
ncrna:Ictalurus punctatus (channel catfish) microRNA ipu-mir-145 precursor